GGCUCAAUAGCACAGUGGUAGUUGCGUAGCACUUGUAAUGCUAAGGUCCCGAGUUCAACUCUCGGUUGGGCCU